GUCACAUCCGGGCGAGUAGGCUGUGUAAGACUGAGGGUGCAGGCGUUGUCUGGUGUUAGUGUGGUUAAAUGGUCAGUAGGCGUGUUCGUAAGUCAGUGGUGAAAGCCUGCAGCUUAACUGUAGAACUGGCGUUGAUACUGCGAGUCUUGAGUAAAUUUGAAGUGGCGGGAAUAAGUAGUGUAGCGGUGAAAUGCAUAGAUAUUACUUAGAACACCAAUUGCGAAGGCAGGUCACUAAAAUUUAACUGACGCUGAUGGACGAAAGCGUGGGGAGCGAACAGGAUUAGAUACCCGUGUAGUC
rnacentral:rRNA from 1 species